rnacentral:tRNA from 1 species
AGCGAAGUAGCCGUGUGGUUAAGGUGUUGGUUUUAGGCACCAAUAUCUUCGAAUUCGUGGAUUUAAAUUCCAUUUUUCUCA